rnacentral:rRNA from 1 species
ACUUUACAAUGCGGGAAACCGUGAUAAGGGGACACCGAGUGCCAGCAUCAUAUGCUGGCUGUCCGGGUGUGUAAAAUACACUCGUUAGCAAGGGCCGGGCAAGACCGGUGCCAGCCGCCGCGGUAACACCGGCGGCCCGAGUGGUGAUCGUGAUUAUUGGGUCUAAAGGGUCCGUAGCCGGUUUGGUCAGUCCUCCGGGAAAUCUGAUAGCUCAACUAUUAGGCUUUCGGGGGAUACUGCCAGACUUGGAACCGGGAGAGGUAAGAGGUACUACAGGGGUAGGAGUGAAAUCUUGUAAUCCCUGUGGGACCACCUGUGGCGAAGGCGUCUUACCAGAACGGGUUCGACGGUGAGGGACGAAAGCUGGGGGCACGAACCGGAUUAGAUACCCGGGUAGUCCCAGCCGUAAACGAUGCUCGCUAGGUGUCAGGCAUGGCGCGACCGUGUCUGGUGCCGCAGGGAAGCCGUGAAGCGAGCCACCUGGGAAGUACGGCCGCAAGGCUGAAACUUAA